rnacentral:rRNA from 1 species
GACGAACGCUGGCGGCGCGCUUAACACAUGCAAGUCGAACGGAAAGGCCUGCUUUCCCUUGUGGAUUGCGGGUACUCGAGUGGCGAACGGGUGAGUAGCACGUGAGUGAUCUGCCCCCAACUUGGGUAUAAGCCUGGGAAACUGGGUCUAAUUCCCGAUAGGACUGCAGGGUGGCGCCUGUGGUGGAAAACGAUUUUCUAGUGGUUGAGGAUGAGCUCGCGGCCUAUCAGCUUGUUGGUGGGGUAAUGGCCUACCAAGGCGGCGACGGGUAGCCGGCCUGAGAGGGUGGACGGCCACAUUGGGACUGAGAUACGGCCCAGACUCCUACGGGAGGCAGCAGUGGGGAAUAUUGCACAAUGGGCGGAAGCCUGAUGCAGCGACGCCGCGUGGGGGAUGACGGCCUUCGGGUUGUAAACUCCUUUCGACCGCGAGGAAGCCACCUGGUUGGAAGGGUGGUGACGGUAGUGGUAGAAGAAGCACCGGCUAACUACGUG